AGGGGGAGUAACAUCCGGAAACGGAUGCUAAAACCGCAUAGGUCUUCGAGCUGCAUGGCUUGAAGAGGAAAAGAGGCGCAAGCUUCUGCUGAUGGAUGGACCCGCGGUGCAUUAGCUAGUUGGUGAGGUAACGGCUCACCAAGGCCGUGAUGCAUAGCCGACCUGAGAGGGUGAUCGGCCACAUUGGGACUGAGACACGGCCCAA
rnacentral:rRNA from 1 species